GACGAACGCUGGCGGCGUGCUUAACACAUGCAAGUCGAACGGGCCUGUCUUCUUUUUUGGGGGGUGGGUUGAGUGGCGAACGGGUGAGUAUCACGUGAGUAACCUGCCCUUCGGUCCUGGAUAACCGCUUGAAAGGGCGGCUAAUACGGGGUGGUCCGGUUGGUCCGCAUGGGCUGGUCGGGAUAGAUUCACUGUUUUUGGUGUUUCGGCGGGGGAUGGGCUCGCGGCCUAUCAGCUUGUUGGUGGGGUGAUGGCCUACCAAGGCGGUGACGGGUAGCCGGCCUGAGAGGGUAGGCGGCCACACUGGGACUGAGAUACGGCCCAGACUCCUGCGGGAGGCAGCAGUGGGGGGUAUUGCACAAUGGGCGGAAGCCUGAUGCAGCGACGUCGCGUGAGGGAUGGAGGCCUUCGGGUUGUGAACCUCUGUUUCCGGUGGUGAAGGCCCUGUCCGUGUGGUGGGGUUGACGGUAGCCGGGGAUGAAGCGCCGGCUAACUACGUG
rnacentral:rRNA from 1 species